CCUACGGGUGGCAGCAGUGGGGGAUAUUGCACAAUGGGGGGAACCCUGAUGCAGCGACGCCGCGUGGGUGAAGGAGUGCUUCGGCAUGUAAAGCCCUAUCGGUGUGGAAGAAGCAAGACGGUACCUGACUAAGAAGCCCCGACUAACUACGUGCCAGCAGCCGCGGUAAUACGUAGGGGGCGAGCGUUAUCCGGAUUCACGGGGUGUAAAGGGAGCGUAGACGGCCAAGCAAGCCAGGGGUGAAAGCCCGGGGCCCAACCCCCGGACUGCCCUUGAAACUGGAUGGCUGGAGUGAGGGAGGGGCAGGCGGAAGUCGUGGUGUAGCGGUGAAAUGCGUAGAUAUCAGGAGGAACACCGGCGGCGAAGGCGGCCUGCUGGACCGCGACUGACGUUGAGGCACGAAAGCGUGGGGAGCGAACAGGAUUAGAUACCCUGGUAGUC
rnacentral:rRNA from 1 species